rnacentral:rRNA from 1 species
AUUCCCCUAGUAACUGCGAGUGAAGCGGGAAAAGCUCAAAUUUAAAAUCUGGUGGUCUUUGGCCGUCCGAGUUGUAAUUUAGAGAAGCGUCUUCCGCGCUGGGCCGUGCACAAGUCUCCUGGAAUGGAGCGUCAUAGAGGGUGAGAAUCCCGUCUUUGGCACGGACACACCAGGGCUUUUGUGAUGCGCUCUCAAAGAGUCGAGUUGUUUGGGAAUGCAGCUCAAAAUGGGUGGUGAACUCCAUCUAAAGCUAAAUAUUGGCGAGAGACCGAUAGCGAACAAGUACCGUGAGGGAAAGAUGAAAAGCACUUUGGAAAGAGAGUGAAACAGUACGUGAAAUUGUUGAAAGGGAAACGCUUGAAGUCAGUCGCGUCGUCCGAGACUCAACCUUGCCUUGGCUUGGUGUAUUUCUCGGUUGACGGGUCAGCAUCAAUUUUGCCCCUUGGAUAAUGGCGAGGGAAAUGUGACACCUUUAUGGUGUGUUAUAGUCUCUUGUCGCAUGCAAGGGUUGGGAUUGAGGAACUCAGCACGCACCUUUUGGGGUGUCGGGGUUUUUGCCCACGAUACGUGCUUAGGAUGUUGGCGUAAUGGCUUUAAACGACCCGUCUUGAAACACGGACCAAGGAGUCUAACAUGCCUGCGAGUGUUCGGGUGGAAAACCCGUGCGCGCAAUGAAAGUGAAAGUUGGGACCUCUGUCGUGGAGGGCACCGACGCCCGGACCAGACCUUCUGUGACGGAUCUGCGGUAAAGCAUGUAUGUUAGGACCCGAAAGAUGGUGAACUAUGCCUGAAUAGGGUGAAGCCAGAGGAAACUCUGGUGGAGGCUCGUAGCGAUUCUGACGUGCAAAUCGAUCGUCAAAUUUGGGUAUAGGGGCGAAAGAC